rnacentral:rRNA from 1 species
CCUACGGGUGGCAGCAGUGGGGAAUAUUGCACAAUGGGGGAAACCCUGAUGCAGCGACGCCGCGUGAGUGAAGAAGUAUUUCGGUAUGUAAAGCUCUAUCAGCAGGAACGAGACAAGACGUUACCUGACUAAGAAGCCCCGGCUAACUACGUGCCAGCAGCCGCGGUAAUACGUAUGGGGCAAGCGUUAUCCGGAAUCACUGGGUGUAAAGGGAGCGUAGACGGGUGAGCAAGCCUGAAGUGAAAGGCGGGGGGCCCAACCCCUGGACUGCUUUGGGAACUGUACGGCUGGAGUGCAGGAGAGGUAAGUGGAAUUCCUAGUGUAGCGGUGAAAUGCGUAGAUAUUAGGAGGAACACCAGUGGCGAAGGCGGCUUACUGGACUGUAACUGACGUUGAGGCUCGAAAGCGUGGGGAGCAAACAGGAUUAGAUACCCUGGUAGUC